CGGGUGUCUCUCAGAGGGGCGGGAUUAGUCAGCUUCUCGAUAACUUCCCCUGCAGCCGAGCCGGUUGUGUUGAUACAGUACACUAAAUCCAACAACGCAACGCUUCAAUAUGCAGCUCGAAGCCCAAACAAUUACUCUCCUCCUCCUCUUCCUCGUUUAAUUGGACGUCUCCUGAUGUCGUGCUCUCCAUAGUGAAAUGUGAGUACGUCUCGCUGCCGUCGGUCAACAACAUUUAUCAGGUUAUAUCUACACUUAAACACCUCAUUUCUUCAUCUCCAAAACCCCAAAAGGUUUCCACAAACACGACUCUCAAAUUAAACAAUUCAAGUUAAAUACAUGAAAAAAAAAAGAGUUCUGACAAUUGUCUUUGCUUCAUUUCUUUUUGGAUCGUCCCAUAGAGCCAUACGGAGGGACUUUGAAUGGAUGUCCUGGAAACCGUCACAAGAUUGCUUUGUAUUGAAGGUACAAGUGCCAAGUGGAUUCCUUCUGAAUGGUGGGAAAGCAUAAAUACUCAAGUAGUGUACUCAAGGAAUAUCUGUAAUUAAACUUCUGCUCCACCACGUAGAGGUACAUGUAGUACUUUUUACUUCAAUGCAUCUUAGAGGUACAUGUACUUUUAAACUCACUACAUCAAUACUGUAAUUAUCUUGUAUUGUUGUAUUUUAACAAAGUUACUGUUCCAAAACUAGCCGGUAGAAUAUGAAGCUGCAACAUGAAAAACACGAACCAAUCAAUAAUUACUGUACAAUAAUAUAAUAAAUGUUACUCUGCACAAAGAC